rnacentral:rRNA from 1 species
UGGGGAGUAUUGCACAAUGGGGAAGACCCUGAUGCAGCGACGCCGCGUGAGCGAUGAAGUAUUUCGGUAUGUAAAGCUCUAUCAGCAGGGAAGAAGAUGACGGUACCUGACUAAGAAGCCCCGGCUAACUACGUGCCAGCAGCCGCGGUAAUACGUAGGGGGCAAGCGUUAUCCGGGAUUUACUGGGUGUAAAGGGAGCGUAGACGGCGAUGCAAGCCUGGAGUGAAAGGCGGGGGCUCAACUCCUGGGACUGCAUUGGAAACUGUGUAGCUUGAGUGCCGGAGAGGUAAGCGGAAUUCCUAGUGUAGCGGUGAAAUGCGUAGAUAUUAGGAGGAACACCAGUGGCGAAGGCGGCUUGCUGGACGACAACUGACGCUGAGGCGCGAAAGCGUGGGGAGCAAACAGGAUUAGAUACCC